AAAGUCGUAACAAGGUCUCCGUUGGUGAACCAGCGGAGGGAUCAUUACCGAGUUGCAAAACUCCCAACCCAACCGUCUACUUAUACCAAAACGUUUGCUUCGGCGGGCGGCCCCAGGGCGGGGCCACCGCUAUGCCCGCCGGAGGAAACACCCCCAACUCUUGAUAUUUCAGUGGAACUCUGAGCACAAAGACAAUAGUCAAAACUUUCAACAACGGAUCUCUUGGUUCUG
rnacentral:misc_RNA from 1 species